rnacentral:rRNA from 1 species
GACGAACGCUGGCGGCGUGCUUAACACAUGCAAGUCGAACGGAAAGGCCCUGCUUUUGUGGGGUGCUCGAGUGGCGAACGGGUGAGUAACACGUGAGUAACCUGCCCUUGACUUUGGGAUAACUUCAGGAAACUGGGGCUAAUACCGGAUAGGAGCUCCUGCUGCAUGGUGGGGGUUGGAAAGUUUCGGCGGUUGGGGAUGGACUCGCGGCUUAUCAGCUUGUUGGUGGGGUAGUGGCUUACCAAGGCUUUGACGGGUAGCCGGCCUGAGAGGGUGACCGGCCACAUUGGGACUGAGAUACGGCCCGGACUCCUACGGGAGGCAGCAGUGGGGAAUAUUGCACAAUGGGCGGAAGCCUGAUGCAGCAACGCCGCGUGCGGGAUGACGGCCUUCGGGUUGUAAACCGCUUUCGCCUGUGACGAAGCGUGAGUGACGGUAAUGGGUAAAGAAGCACCGGCUAACUACGUGCCAGCAGCCGCGGUGAUACGUAGGGUGCGAGCGUUGUCCGGAUUUAUUGGGCGUAAAGGGCUCGUAGGUGGUUGAUCGCGUCGGAAGUGUAAUCUUGGGGCUUAACCCUGAGCGUGCUUUCGAUACGGGUUGACUUGAGGAAGGUAGGGGAGAAUGGAAUUCCUGGUGGAGCGGUGGAAUGCGCAGAUAUCAGGAGGAACACCAGUGGCGAAGGCGGUUCUCUGGGCCUUUCCUGACGCUGAGGAGCGAAAGCGUGGGGAGCGAACAGGCUUAGAUACCCUGGUAGUCCACGCUGUAAACGGUGGGUACUAGGUGUGGGGUCCAUUCCACGGGUUCCGUGCCGUAGCUAACGCUUUAAGUACCCCGCCUGGGGAGUACGGCCGCAAGGCUAAAACCCAAAGGAAUUGACGGGGCCCCGCACAAGCGGCGGAGCAUGCGGAUUAAUUCGAUGCAACGCGUAGAACCUUACCUGGGUUUGACAUGGAUCGGGAGCGCUCAGAGAUGGGUGUGCCUCUUUUGGGGUCGGUUCACAGGUGGUGCAUGGCUGUCGUCAGCUCGUGUCGUGAGAUGUUGGGUUAAGUCCCGCAACGAGCGCAACCCUUGUUCACUGUUGCCAGCACGUUAUGGUGGGGACUCAGUGGAGACCGCCGGGGUCAACUCGGAGGAAGGUGGGGAUGACGUCAAGUCAUCAUGCCCCUUAUGUCCAGGGCUUCACGCAUGCUACAAUGGCUGGUACAGAGAGUGGCGAGCCUGUGAGGGUGAGCGAAUCUCGGAAAGCCGGUCUCAGUUCGGAUUGGGGUCUGCAACUCGACCUCAUGAAGUCGGAGUCGCUAGUAAUCGCAGAUCAGCAACGCUGCGGUGAAUACGUUCCCGGGGCU